AUUUUUUGUUUUCUUCUAUCUCUUGUAUUUACUUGAUUCAAUCGGGGGAUUGAAUCAAGAGGUUUAAGGUUGGUUGGUGAGCCAAGUUAAAACCAACGUGUGUAAGGGUUUGAUUGUGAGCCCGGGAAAACAAUCGGGGUUGGUUCUAGUCGGUGAGCCUGGAAAAACCGACCGAGUUCGUUGUGAGCUCGUAAAACAACAAGUUUGGUUGUGAGCUUGCAAAACAACCGGCUAUAAUCCAAGGGGGUUAUAGUGAAAUUCCCAAGUGAGACUUAGGGAGUGGACGUAGGAGAAAGGGUUAGCUCCGAACCACUAUAAAACUUUGUGUUUGUAGUGUAUUGUCUCUCAUCUUCUUCCCCGCACAUUACUCACAGCACUAGGCCUUAAUUAAAUAACUUGCUAUAGUUUUUAAUUAAUCAUCCACAAAGUUUUAAUUAGUCAAAUUAUUUUAAAAACCCAAUUCACCCCCCCC
rnacentral:lncRNA from 1 species